UACAGAGGUCCCAAGCGUUGUUCGGAUUCAUUGGGCGUAAAGGGUGCGUAGGUGGCGGGGCAAGUCUGGUGUGAAAUCUCGGAGCUCAACUCCGAAACUGCACUGGAUACUGCCUUGCUCGAGUACUGGAGAGGAGAUUGGAAUUUACGGUGUAGCAGUGAAAUGCGUAGAUAUCGUAAGGAAGACCAGUGGCGAAGGCGAAUCUCUGGACAGUUACUGACACUGAGGCACGAAGGCCAGGGGAGCAAACGGG
rnacentral:rRNA from 1 species